rnacentral:rRNA from 1 species
ACCCGCUGAAUUUAAGCAUAUUACUAAGCGGAGGAAAAGAAACUAACAAGGAUUCCUCUAGUAACGGCGAGUGAAGCAGGAAUAGCCCAGCACCGAAUCCCUGGUUGCUAACGCGGCCAGGGAACUGUGGCGUUGGGGACAUCCGCUUGCUUGGUGUACACGACGCUCGAGUUCUCUUGAUUGGGGCUUCGCCCAUAGUGGGUGUUAGGCCUGUACGGCGUCGAGUCACCUGGCUUGAGGUGUCCCGGGAGUCGGGUUGUUUGGGAAUGCAGCCCUAAGCGGGUGGUAAACUCCAUCUAAGGCUAAAUACCGACACGAGUCCGAUAGCGGACAAGUACCGUGAGGGAAAGUUGAAAAGGACUUUGAAGAGAGAGUUCAAGAGUACGUGAAACCGUUUAGAGGCAAACGGAUGGCACCGUGCAGUUGAGCCCGUGCAAUUCAGCUAUGCCCUGUAGGUUGGCUGGGGGAGUCGGAUCUUUACGGAACGUGCUUUCUUAGUUUGGUUUGCAGGGCGAGUGCAUUUUGUGCGUGGCCAAAGCCACGACCGUUUCGGCUCGGCGGCCAGAAGCCCCUGGGGAAGGUGCCUUUGGAUUUCGGUUCAAAGUGUUAUAGACCUGGGUGGUGUUGGCCCGCUGCCGGAGCGAGGUAACCUUCUAGUCGCUGCGUCUGCGCUAGGGCGUCUCUGCGAGUCUCGACUGGGGUUCACUGUUGUCAGUGUUCACCGACCGCUAGUGGAGAGGUGCUUGGAUGUUGGGCGCAGCCAUAGGGUCUGUGGCGAUUCCAUCGGCAGGCUAUCCGACCCGUCUUGAAACACGGA